rnacentral:rRNA from 1 species
UACGUAGGGUGCGAGCGUUAAUCGGAAUUACUGGGCGUAAAGCGUGCGCAGGCGGUUCGUUGUGUCGGCGGUGAAAGCCCCGGGCUCAACCUGGGAAUGGCCGUUGAAACUGGCGAACUGGAGUGUGGCAGAGGGGGUGGAAUUCCACGUGUAGCAGUGAAAUGCGUAGAGAUGUGGAGGAACACCGAUGGCGAAGGCAGCCCCCUGGGUUAACACUGACGCUCAUGCACGAAAGCGUGGGGAGCAAACAGG